rnacentral:lncRNA from 1 species
AUUACCUUGGUUUAAAACCAAACUGAGAGAUAGACAGAAACUAGAUCUGGAUAAGAGAAACAGCUCUCUUGUUUCCCUCUCUGAUCCAAUCUGUAAUGACUGAACAAAAAGAGAAGAAGCUCUGAGUUUGGGAGGAACUAAUUCAAAAGAAAAAAUAACAGAGUUAAAACGGCGGAUCUCGAGAUAGGGAGAGAGAGAGAGAGCUCAGGGGAUUAGUGCAGAGGUGAAAGAAAUAUAAAAACAGAGGAGGAGGAACACAAGAGGGAAGAGAUGAUUAUGGUGUUUUGUCUAAUUUGACCUCACUGUUUCGCAUAUAUUACGUGUUGGUGCCCUUUGUUUUUGGGUUUG